UAAGCCUUUGGAAAGUCGCCGGCGCCUU
rnacentral:sRNA from 1 species